rnacentral:misc_RNA from 1 species
UUUCCGUAGGUGGACCUGCGGAAGGAUCAUUACUGAGUGAGGGCCCCUCGGGGUCCAACCUCCCACCCGUGUUUAACGAACCUUGUUGCUUCGGCGGGCCCGCCUCACGGCCGCCGGGGGGCAUCUGCCCCCGGGCCCGCGCCCGCCGAAGCCACCUGUGAACGCUGUCUGAAGUAUACAGUCUGAGACAAUUAUUAAAUUAAUUGAAACUUUCAACAACGGAUCUCUUGGUUCCG